CACACACAGGCACGGCAGAGGCCCCGAAAAGUCCUUCAACAAAAAUCUCUGCUGAGAUGUGUUCUGUCCAGCAGGUGCCCGAAUUUAUUUGGGCAAAGAGCACCUUUUGCACACGCUGAUGAACGUGCUCAAGAAGGAUGGUCCACACUGCAGACUCCCGGGGUCAGCAAAGGGGCAGGGCCUGGCUUUGCUACAAGAUAGAGGACUAGACACCAGGCCCAGGGUGUGAGUCUGCCUCUGCUGUUUACCAGAUGAGAGAGACCUCAGCCAAUCAGCAGCCUCCUUCCUGGAUGGUUGCUGCUCCUCCAGACCUGCUGCGUUUCAUCACCUCUCCAGCACCCAGGCUCAGGACGUGCAGACACAGGGGUGCUCUGACCGGCCCUGCCGAGUACAGUCUCUCCUGUAGCAUGCCGGCCUCCACCUGCGCACACCUACGUGACAUGACCAGAACCCUCCUUGGCCCAGCCCCGCCCAUCUGCAAGGAAGGCCCCAGGAUACAAUGGAACAUCGGGCCCUUUUAUUUCCAAGUCUUUCUUUUUGUCUUCUCUAAAAUAAAGCAAAUAGCUAUUAUAUAGCUAGAAAUAGUA
rnacentral:lncRNA from 10 species